CCGAUUACUUAUUUUACAUGGGUUCCUUGAUGAAAACGUGCACUUUUUCCACACCAACUUCCUGGUGUCUCAACUCAUCCGUGCAGGAAAGCCAUAUCAGCUACAGAUCUACCCCAAUGAGAGACACAGCAUCCGCUGUCCUGAGUCCGGAGAGCACUACGAGAUCAUGCUACUGUACUUCCUCCAGCAGCACCUCUGAUGAGCGGCGUCUCCUUUCCCAGCCUCCUCUACUUCCUUCAGCAGCAGUGACAGUGAAUACGGCCCUCUCCGGUUCCCCAACCCGCCUUUGCUUUCUCGCACUCUUUCUGGAAGGAGUGUCUUCGCAGCAGCCAGAAACAGACUUGUCCCCAAACCUCAUGUAAUUUUGUGCAUGUCGGCACACUUUUAUCAGAAAGGACACCUCCCGAGAACGGAGAAGAACCCAGUAGCUCAUUAACCUCAUAAACAAGUUUUGGAUCAUGUGCCACAUCUAGGUAAUGUUUCCUUUCCGGCUCCCUUUGAAACACUGAUUAUGUUGCCAAACGUGUCUUUAUUUUUAAAAAUUUGUAGUUAGUGGCUGAUCAGGAUACAGAGACUGGAUUUCUACACGUAACGUACAGAAAUGCUCUUUCCGCGCUUUCUCUGCUCAUUUAACUUAAGCUUUUUCAGUUCUAUGAAUGCAGUCGUGUUUCGGUCCAACAUGGAUUCCAGCGAUAGCCGCAGUCUCGUGGCUCUCACGUAAGGACACCUCACACUACUACCUGCAGUUCAUAUUUUAAGUGUGUAUUAUUAAAGGAACAUAUUUUUUAUGAA